rnacentral:pre_miRNA from 1 species
GGAAUAUAAGAAUCCGUCUCUUAACUUUUAACUAAAAAGCUAAAAACCGGUUCUUAAUUUUUUUAGUUAAAAGUUAAGAGACGGGUUCUUAUAUUCC